AUUUAUAUAAUAUAAUAAGUAUAUUUGACUUCCAAUCAUAAAGUCUAUUUAAUAGUAUAAAUA
rnacentral:tRNA from 1 species